CCCCAGGGCUGGUGCUGGUCACCGAUGCCAUCCCUGCCUUGGGCCUGGGCAACGGCCGGCACACGCUGGGACAGCAGGAAGUGGAAGUGGAUGGUCUGACGGCCUACGUGGCAGGUGAGCGCCCUGACCCACUGGGUCCCAGGUCCCAGCCCGCAUGCCAGGUGGCCCACGACCCCCCCAGAGCCUGCCCUCUCUGCUCUCAAGGCACCAAGACGCUGAGUGGCAGCAUAGCCCCAAUGGACGUCUGUGUCCGGCACUUCCUGCAGGCCACAGGUCAGUGAGCAGCACGGGUGCGGGUUUAGGUGGUCUGUGAGUGGCGGGUCCCCAGGGGCUGGACCGGGUGCCCGGACUGUAGCCCAAGCUCUGCCCACAGGAGCUCCUGGGCAUUGGGUACUUGGUGACUCAGGCCCAGGGUGACAGGCAGACCAGCAGGGUCCUUGUUAGCCUGCUGCAGAGUCCCUGAGACAGGGAGUGCUGGUGUGGUGGGGGGCUGCUGGCAAAGCCAUGUGGGCUUGGGGACCGUCACCCAGCUGUGUCCCCCAAGCAGGCUGCAGCGUGGAGUCGGCCCUGGAGGCUGCAUCCCUGCACCCCGCCCAGUUGCUGGGGCUGGAGAAGAGUAAAGGGACCCUGGACUUUGGUGCUGACGCAGACUUCGUGGUGCUCGACGACUCCCUUCACGUCCAGGCCACCUACAUCUCGGGUGAGCUGGUGUGGCAGGCGGAUGCAGCUAGGCAGUGACAAGGACCUCGGCUGAGAGGACACCUGGCCGCAGCGGGAUGCCAUCAGGGCCGGGUGGUUGGGGAGCUGGUCUCCAGGGAGUGAGUUGGGAGCCCUGCUGGAAUGAUGCCCAGGGCCUGU
rnacentral:sRNA from 1 species